AAUGCUAAGUUCAGCACUCCUAAUACCUGUGUACAUUUAAGUUGUCCCAUGGACAUAUCAUAUGCAAGAAAUAGUACAGAGCGGCUGCUGUUGAAUGCUGCCUCUCGCCCUGCUGGGAUUAGUCGCGCUCGUGCUCUUGUUCCUACGCUGGCGGUCGCACCCCGAGGCCACGGCAGGGAUGCCUGGAGGAGGACAAGCCUCCGCUGCGGUGCCCGAGGAGCUGCCCGCUGACGCACACGCCCCCCUGGCCCGGAGGAACAGCC
ensembl:lncRNA